UACUUUACGUUGCCGGCACUGCUUGAC
rnacentral:piRNA from 1 species